GAUGAACGCUGGCGGCGUGCUUAACACAUGCAAGUCGAACGGGAUCCAAGGGGUGCUUGCCCUUUUUGGUGAGAGUGGCGAACGGGUGAGUAACACGUGAGUAACCUGUCCUUUUCUUUGGGAUAAGCAUUCGAAAGGGUGUUUAAUACCUUAUGUUCUGUCUGCCUCGCAUGGGGUGGGUGGGAAAGGCUUUGGCCGGAUUUGGGUGGGCUCGCGGUCUAUCAGCUUGUUGGUGGGGUGAUGGCUUACCAAGGCUUUGACGGGUAGCCGGCCGGAGAGGGUGGGCGGUCACAUUGGGACUGAGAGACGGCCAAGACUCCUGCGGGAGGCAGCAGUGGGGGAUAUUGCACAAUGGGCGAAAGCCUGAUGCAGCGACGCCGCGUGGGGGAUGAAGGCCUUCGGGUUGUAAACUUCUUUUGCUCUGAACAAGGCAUGCCAGUGGGUGUGUUGAGUGUAGGGGUUGAUUAGCGCCGGCUAACUACGUG
rnacentral:rRNA from 1 species